rnacentral:lncRNA from 1 species
UCUUUUACAAAAAUCUUCCGCUCUGAAACUACUGGGCCAAAUUAAUCCAAACAUGGCCACAAUCAUCUUUGGGGUAUUUAGUUUAAAAAAUGUGUUUGGUGACCCGGCCAUCCAACCAAGAUGGCCGCCAUGGCUAAAAAUAGAACAUAGGGGUAAAAUGCAGUUUUUGGUUUAUAACUCAAAAACCAAAGCAUUUAGAGCAAAUCUGACACAGGUUUAUUUGUU